AGUGAACGCUGGCGGCAUGCCUAACACAUGCAAGUCGAACGGCAGCACAGUAAGCGCUCGCUCCUACGGGUGGCGAGUGGCGGACGGGUGAGGAAUACAUCGGAAUCUACUUUUUCGUGGGGGACAACGUAGGGCAACUGCCGCUAAUACCGCAUACGAUCUACGGGAGAAAGCAGUGGAUCUUGGGACCUUGCGCGAUUGAAUGAGCUGAUGUCGGAUUAGCUAGUUGGCGGGGUAAAGGCCCACCAAGGCGACGAUCCGUAGCUGGUCUGAGAGGAUGAUCAGCCACACUGGAACUGAGACACGGUCCAGACUCCUACGGGAGGCAGCAGUGGGGAAUAUUGGACAAUGGGCGCAAGCCUGAUCCAGCCAUACCGCGUGGGUGAAGAAGGCCUUCGGGUUGUAAAGCCCUUUUGUUGGGAAAGAAAAGCAGCAGGUUAAUACCCCGCUGUUCUGACGGUACCCAAAGAAUAAGCACCGGCUAACUUCGUG
rnacentral:rRNA from 1 species